CGCCGCCGCGCCCCACGCGCAGCGCGCCGCCCAGCGCGACCACACCGCCGCCCAAUCCGCCGGCUCUGUGCGAGCAGGGCCACCCGUUACCGAAACCGUAAUUCACUAGAAUAGCAGCAGCAGUAAGUAACCGGCAAAGCGAUCGCGUCUGCGGGCUGCACGCACAGCACGACGAGAGCGCGCGACAGCAGCUCCGUCAGCUCGGCCUCCUCCACGGACGGCGCUGCGGACACA